UACGAAGGGGGCUAGCGUUGCUCGGAAUUACUGGGCGUAAAGGGCGCGUAGGCGGCACUGUUAGUCAGGCGUGAAAGUCCUGGGCUCAACCUGGGAACUGCGCUUGAUACGGCAGAGCUAGAGGAUGGAAGAGGCUCGCGGAAUUCCCAGUGUAGAGGUGAAAUUCGUAGAUAUUGGGAAGAACACCCGUGGCUAAGGCGGCUCUCUAGUACGGUACUGACGCUGAGACGCGAAAGCGUGGGGAGCGAACAGG
rnacentral:rRNA from 1 species